UGGUACACUGUCACAAGCAUAUGAUUGCAAUUCUUGAUUGUAUGCUCAAGUGAUCAUUGCUGUGUAUACAAUGUCUUUGGUCAGCCAUUUACCAUACUGUUUUUAUUACACAAUCCAUGUUUUCAAUGUUAUUUCAUCAUUUUUAAACGAAUCCAUAUUUACACGUUGAAGCAAGUGCUGAGGAGAUUGAGGCGGCAAGGGAGAAAGAUGAAUUAUUGAAAAAAAAAUCUGAUUAUUACUUACAACCAUUGCACAUUUCCAAUAAAUUACAUGGCUAUGACUCCAAUGCACCAUUACCUACCCCUCCCACAGAUGCAUACACGGCAUCUACAGUUCCUUUACCUGAAGUUGCUGUUGAACCAUCAACACAGAAAUUAAAAGAUGCUGGUUCUUACGAAAGGCUAACAGACGAUACCUCUCCACGAAAAGAAGCAUCUUAUAAGAAUGAAGACGCAAUAAGAUUAGAAAAUAUGACAGCGACAAAUCACAACGACACUAAAGAUGUUCAACAGCCUGAAAAGAUAGAGUCCAUUUUUUGAAGCAUAUUUUUUACAUUAUUUUGUGAAUUGGAAACGAAGAUACGUAGGAACUGCCAAUUGAAGAAUUUUAA